UAAGUAGAGACUGUGUGAAUAGAUCAUCACAUAGAAACUAUAUGAGAAAAACUCAAGUUCAGAAGGAAACAUUUGCAAGAAAGAACUCAUCCACAUACAUCAUUAAAAAGUACAUGUAAGGAAGUAGAAUUCAAGACCCUGAAAGUUAGGUUUCUAAACAUGUUAUUUCUUGUCUGACAUGAGAUAUCUGAAUACCACACCCAAGAAAAACAUUCAAUGUUGAAAGAGGUGGGAAGACACCUAUAUGCAGGAGGUAUUAAUUAGGACAGUUAUUUUUUUCUCACCACUUUCUUUAUCUUGAUCUGAUAAAGAACAUACUUGGGAAUUUUGACCCACAGAAAGUAGGCAUUACUAUUUUACAACAGGUUUUGACCAUUUUAAAGACUUUUCUUCCAAAAAAUCAUCCUCAGUCAACACUUCAGACUAAUCAGUCAAAACUCCAGAACAAAGGAUGGAUGCAAGAAAGAGUCUCUCGUCUAUCAUUUCGAAAAAAGUUAAAGAGAGUCCUCUGGCAUCAAAUAUUAUCAUGGGAUUGUUUCUUCUUGUCUGUGAGAAGAUGCUGGACUCAGAAUUCCUGUGCCCUUGCAGUGAGAGAAGAGAAUGGAAUAGUUUGUUUGUUUUUCUUUACUUUUUGUGUCCAGGAUUUACAAUCUCUGUUUUAAUGUAUCAUGUGCAUAAACAUGGCAGUUCCAGUUCCUGUUGUUUAAUUUUCUUCCACACUUCAGUUCCUGUUCUCACAUGGCUCAUCAUACUGUUUCUUGAUGGGGAAUAUGUAGCUUGUGGCCUGACAAACUGGUCUGGGGUUUAUGAAGUUAGUGGUGGUGGACUGAUGAGGUGGUGCAAACCAGACAAAAACACAUCUGAGAGACUAAGCUACACUCGAACAACGUACACAAUCUCUCAGAGCAUUGGACUUCUGCUCUGCAUUCCCUUUGGUCUGAUCGUAUCCUGUUGUUUGAAGAACGUAUUAUCUAAAAUAAAUCAAGAAGGGACAAAUUUGGAAUUACUCAACCUGAGGGUGGAAUCUGCAUCAAGAGAUCAAAUCCCUUCUUAAGAGAAAACUGUUACAAAAAUGACUCAUUUGUGAAUUGCUCUUGUAUCUACUCUGUUAUCACAUGGUCAAAUUGAGUGACAAAAAGGUAUUGAGAUUUUUAAAAGAUCAAUAAUAUGAGUUGGAGAAGGUGUAAGUUUAAAAAAAGUUUUUUUUAAUCCACAAUUAAUGUUUUGCAUGUAAAUAAUUUUAAUGUCAGUAUGCUGGAUGUGAUUCAUUUUUACCUCUAACUUGUUGAUGGUGUUCAAUAAAUAAGAGCAUAACCAAAUAUUUUUUCAAAAAUUCAAUUUAAC